AUGGAGCCGACCUUGAAAUACCACCCUUUAAUGUUUGAUGUUCUAACGUGGACCCGUGAUCCGGGUUGCGGACAGUGUCUGGUGGGUAGUUUGACUGGGGCGGUCUCCUCCUAAAGAGUAACGGAGGAGCACGAAGGUUGGCUAAUCUUGGUCGGACAUCAGGAGGUUAGUGCAAUGGCAUAAGCCAGCUUGACUGCGAGCGUGACGGCGCGAGCAGGUGCGAAAGCAGGUCAUAGUGAUCCGGUGGUUCUGAAUGGAAGGGCCAUCGCUCAACGGAUAAAAGGUACUCCGGGGAUAACAGGCUGAUACCGCCCAAGAGUUCAUAUCGACGGCGGUGUUUGGCACCUCGAUGUCGGCUCAUCACAUCCUGGGGCUGAAGUAGGUCCCAAGGGUAUGGCUGUUCGCCAUUUAAAGUGGUACGCGAGCUGGGUUUAGAACGUCGUGAGACAGUUCGGUCCCUAUCUGCCGUGGGCGCUGGAGAACUGAGGGGGGCUGCUCCUAGUACGAGAGGACCGGAGUGGACGCAUCACUGGUGUUCGGGUUGUCAUGCCAAUGGCACUGCCCGGUAGCUAAAUGCGGAAGAGAUAAGUGCUGAAAGCAUCUAAGCACGAAACUUGCCCCGAGAUGAGUUCUCCCUGACUCCUUGAGAGUCCUGAAGGAACGUUGAAGACGACGACGUUGAUAGGCCGGGUGUGUAAGCGCAGCGAUGCGUUGAGCUAACCGGUACUAAUGAACCGUGAGGCUUAACCUUACAACGCCGAAGCUGUU
rnacentral:rRNA from 1 species